rnacentral:rRNA from 1 species
CCUACGGGAGGCUGCAGUGAGGAAUAUUGGUCAAUGGGCGAGAGCCUGAACCAGCCAAGUCGCGUGAAGGAUGACGGCCCUACGGGUUGUAAACUUCUUUUGUCAGGGAGCAAUUGAGUCCACGUGUGGGCUUAGCGAGAGUACCUGAAGAAAAAGCAUCGGCUAACUCCGUGCCAGCAGCCGCGGUAAUACGGAGGAUGCGAGCGUUAUCCGGAUUUAUUGGGUUGAAAGGGUGCGUAGGCGGAAUAUCAAGUCAGCGGUAAAAUUUCGGGGCUCAACCCCGUCGUGCCGUUGAAACUGAUGUUCUUGAGUGGGCGAGAAGUAUGCGGAAUGCGUGGUGUAGCGGUGAAAUGCAUAGAUAUCACGCAGAACUCCGAUUGCGAAGGCAGCAUACCGGCGCCCAACUGACGCUGAAGCACGAAAGCGUGGGUAUCGAACAGGAUUAGAUACCCUAGUAGUC